UACGGAGGGUGCGAGCGUUGUCCGGAAUCAUUGGGCGUAAAGGGCGCGUAGGUGGCCCGGUCAGUCUUUGGUGAAAGCGCGGGGCUCAACCCUGCGUCGGCCAGGGAUACUGCCGCGGCUCGAGCACUGUAGAGGCAGGUGGAAUUCCGGGUGUAGCGGUGGAAUGCGUAGAGAUCCGGAAGAACACCGGUGGCGAAGGCGGCCUGCUGGGCAGUU
rnacentral:rRNA from 1 species